rnacentral:rRNA from 1 species
AAAGUAGUGCAGCUUGCAUGCCUGCAGGUCGACGAUUAGAGUUUGAUCAUGGCUCAGAUUGAACGCUGGCGGCAUGCUUUACACAUGCAAGUCGAACGGUAACAGGCCGCAAGGUGCUGACGAGUGGCGAACGGGUGAGUAAUGCAUCGGAACGUGCCCAGUCGUGGGGGAUAACGCAGCGAAAGCUGCGCUAAUACCGCAUACGAUCUAUGGAUGAAAGCGGGGGACCGUAAGGCCUCGCGCGAUUGGAGCGGCCGAUGUCAGAUUAGGUAGUUGGUGGGGUAAAGGCUCACCAAGCCGACGAUCUGUAGCUGGUCUGAGAGGACGACCAGCCACACUGGGACUGAGACACGGCCCAGACUCCUACGGGAGGCAGCAGUGGGGAAUUUUGGACAAUGGGCGCAAGCCUGAUCCAGCAAUGCCGCGUGCAGGAAGAAGGCCUUCGGGUUGUAAACUGCUUUUGUACGGAACGAAAAGGCUCUGGUUAAUACCUGGGGCUCAUGACGGUACCGUAAGAAUAAGCACCGGCUAACUACGUGCCAGCAGCCGCGGUAAUACAGAGGGUGCAAGCGUUAAUCGGAUUUACUGGGCGUAAAGCGCGCGUAGGUGGCCAAUUAAGUCAAAUGUGAAAUCCCCGAGCUUAACUUGGGAAUUGCAUUCGAUACUGGUUGGCUAGAGUAUGGGAGAGGAUGGUAGAAUUCCAGGUGUAGCGGUGAAAUGCGUAGAGAUCUGGAGGAAUACCGAUGGCGAAGGCAGCCAUCUGGCCUAAUACUGACACUGAGGUGCGAAAGCAUGGGGAGCAAACAGGAUUAGAUACCCUGGUAGUCCAUGCCGUAAACGAUGUCUACUAGCCGUUGGGGCCUUUGAGGCUUUAGUGGCGCAGCUAACGCGAUAAGUAGACCGCCUGGGGAGUACGGUCGCAAGACUAAAACUCAAAUGAAUUGACGGAAUCUCUAGAGGAUCCCCGGGUACCGAGCUCGAAUU